rnacentral:rRNA from 1 species
UAGGGAAUCUUCCGCAAUGGACGAAAGUCUGACGGAGCAACGCCGCGUGAGUGAUGAAAGCUUUCGGGUCGUAAAACUCUGUUGUUAGGGAAGAACAAGUACAAGAGUAACUGCUUGUACCUUGACGGUACCUAACCAGAAAGCCACGGCUAACUACGUG